UGCAGGGUUUCAAUACAGGAUAAUCAUAUGCUUCAAUAGUCAAUUAUUCAUUACACAAUAGCGGGGACUAAAUUUGGAAUACGGAAAGCUAUAGCGUAAUGAGUUCUGAAAAUGUCUUCAAAAUAUUUUAAUAACUUUCUAAGAUCAAAUUAAAUAUUUUCAUAGUUUAUUGAAAUAACUUGCUGAAAUGGAAAAAAUGUUAAGUUAUAAUAAUACAAAGUAAAAAAAAAACCAAGGGUACCAUAAAUUGCUGCCACAUUUAUUUUCAAUAAAUCAAGAAAAAUCGAAAAUUUAGAUAUCGCACAACUGCUAACCUCUGUUCACAUUAACGUAAUUUUAGCACUUAACAAUUAAACACACAGUGGUUCGGAAUAAAAUCACAAUGCUUUAUGUAUAUAUAUUGUGAAUAAUUAUUCUUUUAAUUUUACACAUUUUGAACAUGCUCAAAUUCUACUUUCCUUUUCAAAAUGGUCACUGGAAUAGAAAACAAAACUGAUUGGUGUAAAAUUUGUUGUAUGUGUUUUUGUAAAUUUGUAUUAUAUCACACUGUCACAAGCUGUUUUGUCAUUUCUGACAAUGAAUAUAUAUAUUUUAAAUAUGAUUGAUUAAAACGAAAAGUGUAGAAAUUGUAAACCUUAUGCAACAUGUUUGAAAUAGACUAUUAAUUUUCGGCUGACUGAACACUGCAUUUAAUUUCCCCUGUCUGUGCACCUCUUUUUAAAGGUCAUGAUCUUUAGUUCUGGAAAUUAAGUCACUUGAGACACAAAGACAUUUUCAGUUUCUUUUACUCGUGGUUUGAAACACAACAGAAGAUCAAAAUCAGUGAAAAUGCCAGGAAUUCCACCUAUGGUGAUCGGAGGGAGCAUUAUAAGCGCUGUAUCGUUGAUUUUUCAUGUUAUAGGAUUUUCAACCACAUACUGGUAUAAGAUAGGUGAAGCUCAUAUGGGAUUAUGGAAAUCGUGUGGUCAAGUUAAAGGAGCUGAGAUAUGCUUUGACAUUAAAGAUGCACCAGUACAUUACAACCAACUCAUAGCCGCACAAGUUCUGGAAUGUCUUGCCCUGGUAGCCUUUUUAGCAGCUGUGACAUGUGCUUUCCUGAAGAUGUUUGCACUCAAGGAGCAAGGAAUGCUAUUUGUUGUCACAGGCUUACUUAACUGGCUGGCAGGAGGACUUGCCUUGGUCGGAGUAAUUGUCUUCGCAACAAUGUCAUUCGAUGGAUAUAAGUUGGAUAAUUCCAAAUAUUACUAUUCCUUUGGGCUAUGUAUUGUUGGUGGAAUCGGAGGAGUUUUCUCUGGGAUUGUAUUCUUCCUAGCAUGGCGAUGGGUGAGAAAUUAACGAAAACAGCUGGUUGGAAGAAUUAUCUGUUUAAACGUUCUUUCUAUGAAAUCAGUGAAAGAAGCUUUUAAACUCGAAACCUUUUGUAUUGACUUCUUUGUAACUUUAAUGACACUCGAAUUGUUGAUUCAUUUUGUCGAGCCUGCGACUUUUGUCGCAGAAAGCUCGACAUAGGGAUAGUGAUCCGGCGGCGGCGGCGUUAGCUAACUUCUUAAAAGCUUUAUAUUUUAGAAGGUGGAAGACCUGGAUGCUUCAUACUUUGUAUAUGGAUGCCUCAUGUUACGAAGUUUCCGUCAGUCACAUGUCCAAUGUCCUUGACCUCAUUUUCAUGGUUCAGUGACUACUUGAAAAAAAAGUUAAGAUUUUUUGUAAUGUUAAAUUCUCUCUUAUUAUAAGUAAUAGGAUAACUAUAUUUGGUAUGUGCGUACCUUGCAAGGUCCUCAUGCCCGUCAGACAGUUUUCACUUGACCUCGACCUCAUUUUAUGGAUCAGUGAACAAGGUUAAGUUUUGGUGGUCAAGUCCAUAUCUCAUAUACUAUAAGCAAUAGGUCUAGUAUAUUCGGUGUAUGGAAGGACUGUUAGGUGUACAUGUCCAACUGGCAGGUGUCAUCUGACCUUGACCUCAUUUUCAUGGUUCAGUGGUUAUAGUUAAGUUUUUGUGUUUUGGUCUGUUUUUCUUAUACUGUAUGCAAUAGGUCUACUAUAUUUGGUGUAUGGAAUGAUUGUAAGGUGUACAUGUCUAGCUGGCAGGUGUCAUCUGACCUUGACCUCAUUUUCAUUGUUCAAGUGGUUAUAGUUAAGUUUUUGUGUUUUGGUCUGUUUUUCUUAUACUGUAUGCAAUAGGUCUACUAUAUUUGGUGUAUGGAAUGAUUGUAAGGUGUACAUGUCUAGCUGGCAGGUGUCAUCUGACCUUGACCUCAUUUUCAUGGUUCAGUGGUCAAAGUUAAGUUUUUGAGUUUUGGUCUUUUUUCUAAUACUGUAUGCAAUAGUUCAACUAUAUUUGGUGUAUGGAAAUAUUUUAUGAUCUAUUUGUCAGUCACGCAGGUUUUAUUUGACCUUGACCUCAUUUUCAAGGUUCAUUGCUCAGUGUUAAGUUUUUGUGUUUUGGUCUUUUUUUCUUAAACUAUAAGCAAUAGGUCAACUAUAUUUGUUGUAUGGAAGAAUUGUUAGCUGUACAUGCCUGCCUAGCAUGGUUCAUCUGACCUUGACCUCAUUUUCAUGGUUCUUUGGUCAAUGUUUAGUUUACUUGGUUAAUAUUAAGUUUAUGUGACAGUUGUAAUAAAGCUUUAUAUUUAGGACUAUCAACAUAAUAUCAAUGAUUAGUAAAGAAGGCGAGACAUUUCAGCGUGUGCACUCUUGUACAUUGUAUAAAUACUUACUGUGCCUCUCAUUUAUGUAUAACUUUUUGUAAAGACCAGGAUAAGUCAAUUUUGAUAGUAACACAUAACGCAGAGAGUUUAUCUUUUCAUUUCAUGUACCUAGCUGCUACUGAAAAAUAUGAAACAAGUUUUUGAAAAUCUCUCUGAUUUGAGAGAUAUAGUUGUAGGAGUAACCUCACUUAAGUAAUGCAUUCUACACAAUUUAUACGAACACUAUAAGGGAACGAUUGGUCGCAUUUUCUUAGAAAAUGGAAAAUUAAAUUAAAAACACGUUCGCAUUUUAUGAUAAUAAUAUUAAUUUUUACGUAGUGUUUGUGUUAUACCGGUUUACCUCUGUCUGUCCUCAUGUAUACCCGUUUUUCCAUUCGUCUCACGAAACUCCUGAGCUUCAAUUUCCUGUUUACCGCCAUGCAUGAAAUGUUCGACUCACUCUUCUAGGGAACUACGAAUAUAAGAGCUUUCUAAAUGUGUUAUUAGGCUUCAUGUGAAUAUGCUUUACUGUGUAAUAAAUUUUCUAAUUGAUCGCUCAUCAGCUUCUUAUUUAGCAUUCUGAAAGCUGUGGUAUGAUAAAUAAGCAGUAGCAAACAUUUUUAACAGGAUUUUCAAAGGAAAUAUCGGUUAUUAAAAUGGUGAUGUACGGCGGGCGGCUAGGCGGACCUACGGGCGGCUGCCAAACAGUGUCAGCACAAUAACAUGAAAACGCUUUAACAAUUUUUUUUCAAUUUUAAAUAUGUUGUUUCCUUGGACUUAAUGAAGGUCUAGUUCAAUUUUCAAGAUACUAGUAUAUCUUCUUUGUGAGUUAUCGCCAUUUUUAAUAUCCAAAAGUGGAAUGUUUAAAUAUUUUGCUCUUGUUAUCUUUUUUAUGACUAAGCAUGAUGUCUUAUCUCAAAAUAAAAAUUGGAGUGACAGAUUUAUUUGAAAAUUAUCUAUUUCCUAAGUGGUAAUGAUUAUAAGCCAUAUUAUUAGACAUUUUGAAGUUAAUUACAUUAAUAAUUAUUAAUUAGAUCUGGGUUAUAUCUUAGCAUAUAAUAUCAUUGGAGUGACAGAUUUAUUUGAAAAUUUUCUGUUUUCUGAUAAGAUCUGUAGGACUGUAUAUAUAAAGUUUGAAAUUUACUAGUAGGACUGUAUAAAUGAAAUUUGAAAUUUACUGUUCAUUAUUAGACAUUUUGUAGAUAAUUUAGUCUCCCUAAACCAUAUAUAUUCUUACCCCCACCCCCUUUCAAUUUGAGUAUUUGCUUUUAUCUUUUAAACGGUUGAGAUCCCCACCCUAAACCAUAUAUAUUCUUGUAUGGGACAAUAACACAAAUCAAAUGAAAUAUUUGGGGAGUCCCCAGGUUCACCCCAACCCCCCUACUUUUUGAAAACUUGUAAACGGUCAAGAUCCCAACCGUGAAACCAUACAUAUUCUUGUAUGUAACAACAAAACAAAUCAAAUGAAAUAAAAGGCGAGUCCCCUGGGGUCACCCCCACCCCCUCCUGUUUGAGAACUUGUAAACGGUCGAGAUCCCCACCCCUAAUCCAUAUAUAUAUUCUUGUACGGGACAAUAACACAAAUCAAAUGAAAUAUAGGGGAAGUCCAUGGGGGUCACCCCCACCCCCUUCUUUUUGAAAACUUGUAAACGGUCAAGAUCCCCACCCCGAAACCAUAUAUAUUGUUGUAUGGGACAAUAAAACAAAUCUAAUGAAAUAAAAGACGAGUCCCCUGGGGUCACCCCACCCCAUCCUGUUUAAGAACUUGUAAACCGUCGAGAUCCCCACCCCUUAACCAUAUAUAUUCUUGAAUGGGACAAUACAACAAAUCAAAUGAUAUAUAGGGGAAAUCCAUGGGGUCACCCCCACCCCCUUCUUUUUGGUAACUUGUAAACAGUCGAGAUCCCCACCCCUAAACCAUAUAUAUUCUUGUAUGGGACAAUAACACAAAUCAAAUGAAAUAUAGGGGAAGUCCAUGGGGGUCACCCCCACCCUCUUUCUUUUUUAAAACUUGUAAACGGUCAAGAUCCACACCCUGAAACUAUAUAUAUUCUUGUAUGGGACAAUAAAACAAAUCAAAUAAAAAAUAAAAGGCGAGUCCCUUGGGGUCACCCCACCCCUCCUGUUUGAGAAAUUGUAAACGGUCGAAAUCCCCACCCCUUAACCAUAUAUAUUCUUGUAUGCAAUAAAAUAAAUCAAAUGAAAUACAGGGGAAGUCCAUGGGGUUCACCCCC